ACACCGACUAUUCUUGGGGAGAUUUUUUCAUCUUCUUCCUUCCUCCUUUUUCCCUUUCUCUGUUGAACAGACUUAUGCAUGAGUAGCUUUACAGAAAUCUUAUUAGAUGGAGACACAAAGAAAUUGGUUUUGGAAGAUGGGGAACGGCAGAGGAUUUGUUUGAGAAAUCAAAUGAAUCGAGCUUGGAAUAUUAUUGAUUCAUUGUUGCUAAUCUUUGUGUCGUUUUCAUGGAAGGAAGCUUGGUUUGGAUGAUGGAACCGUAAUUUGAGUUUUGCAGAGAACCAUACUGCUGAAUGUAAACUACAUGGGAGAGUUUUUAUACUAAAACGAGGCACUUAGAUUGCAUGGAUUUUGUUAAUUUUCGGAUAUGAGGAAUCCAUUUUUGUGAUUACUAAUCUGUAUAAAUUUCAAACAAAAUGUACCAUGGUAAUUACACCAACUAGGGGACUUUCUCCAGUUACGCCUGUGUAGUUCAGUUUGGUUUGAUCAU